UACAGAGGUCUCAAGCGUUGUUCGGAUUCAUUGGGCGUAAAGGGUGCGUAGGCGGCUUAACAAGUCACUUGUGAAAUCUCCGGGCUUAACUCGGAACGGCCAAGUGAAACUGUCAAGCUAGAGUGCGGAAGGGGCAAUCGGAAUUCUUGGUGUAGCGGUGAAAUGCGUAGAUAUCAAGAGGAACACCUGAGGUGAAGACGGGUUGCUGGGCCGACACUGACGCUGAUGCGCGAAAGCCAGGGGAGCAAACGGG
rnacentral:rRNA from 1 species